GCGGCGGGGCCGGGGCGUCGUCAUCUGCAUUCACAUGGGGGCGGCGCCGCCGGCCUCCGCCUGAAGCCCCCGCCGGGGGAGACACAAAACCCACGCGAGGCGCGGGGCGCCGCGACCCCCGCCCGCCGGCGCCAUCGCCAUGAAUUCGGCGGAGCAGACCGUUACGUGGCUGAUCGCCCUGGGCGUGCUGGAGUCGCCCAAAAAGACCAUCUCCGACCCCGAGGGCUUCCUUCAGUCCUCCCUGAAGGACGGCGUGGUGCUGUGCCGCCUGCUCGACCGCCUGCUCCCGGGCACCAUAGACAAAGUGUACCCGGAGCCGCGGACGGAGGGCGAGUGCCUGAGCAACAUCCGCGAGUUCCUGCGGGGCUGCGGCGCUUCCCUGCGCCUGGAGGCUGUUUUCUGGACUUUUGAUGCAAAUGACCUGUAUCAGGGACAGAAUUUCAGCAAAGUUCUUAGCUCUCUUGUGGCUUUAAAUAAGGUGACUGCAGACAUAGGGCUGGGCAGUGACUCUGUAUGUGCACGUCCCUCAUCUCAUCGGAUAAAAUCCUUUGAUUCUUUGGGAUCCCAGUCUUCACACAGUAGAACUUCAAAACUCUUUCAGGGACAGUAUCGGAGUUUGGACAUGACAGAUAACGGCAACCAUCAGUUGGUGGUGAGAGCCAAAUUUAAUUUUCAACAGACAAAUGAAGAUGAACUUUCUUUUUCAAAAGGCGAUAUUAUUCAUGUUACAAGAGUGGAAGAAGGAGGCUGGUGGGAAGGAACUUUGAAUGGAAAAACAGGGUGGUUUCCAAGUAACUACGUACGAGAAAUUAAAUCAAAUGAAAAACCAGUCUCCCCCAAAUCAGGUACAUUGAAGAGUCCACCUAAAGGCUUUGAUACAUCUGCAAUUAACAAAAGUUAUUACAAUGUGGUGCUACAAAAUAUAUUAGAAACAGAAAAUGAAUAUGCUAAGGAGCUACAAACAAUGCUUUCAAACUACCUGCGACCAUUACAAGCCAGUGAAAAGUUAACCUCGACAAAUACUUCAUACUUAAUGGGAAACCUGGAAGAAAUAAGUUCUUUCCAGCAAAUGCUUGUACAGUCUUUAGAAGAAUGCACCAAGUUGCCUGAAGCUCAGCAGAGGGUUGGAGGAUGUUUUCUAAAUUUGAUGCCACAAAUGAAAAGCUUAUACCUUACAUACUGUGCCAACCACCCAUCAGCAGUAAAUGUCCUCACAGAACACAGUGAGGAACUAGGAGAAUUCAUGGAGAUGAAAGGUGCAAACAGCCCUGGGAUCCUUGUGCUGACCACGGGCCUCAGCAAACCUUUUAUGCGUCUGGAUAAAUACCCCACGUUACUCAAAGAACUUGAAAGGCACAUGGAGGAUUAUCAUCCGGAUCGUCCAGAUAUUCAAAAAUCCAUGACUGCCUUCAAAAAUCUUUCUGCACAAUGUCAAGAAGUACGGAAACGGAAAGAACUUGAACUGCAAAUACUGACAGAAGCUAUUCGCUGCUGGGAGGGAGAGGACAUCAAAACACUUGGCAAUGUCAUUUACAUGUCCCAAGUCAUGAUUCAGUGUGCUGGAAGUGAGGAGAAGAAUGAAAGGUAUCUUCUUCUCUUCCCUAACAUUUUGCUGAUGUUGUCUGCCAGCCCAAGAAUGAGUGGCUUUAUCUAUCAGGGAAAACUGCCUAUGACAGGAAUGACUAUUACAAAGCUAGAAGACAGUGAAAACCAUAAAAAUGCAUUUGAAAUAUCAGGAAAUAUGAUUGAAAGGAUAUUAGUAUCUUGUAACAACCAACAAGAUUUGCAUGAAUGGGUGGAUCACCUGCAGAAGCAAACCAAAGUCACAAGUGUUGGGAAUCCCACCAUUAAACCUCACUCUGUGCCAUCUCACACGCUUCCUUCCCACCCAGUGACUCCCUCCAGCAAGCAUUCAGACAGCAAGCCAAUACCACUGACACCUGCCUACCACACUCUCCCUCAUCCCUCACAUCAUGGGACUCCACACACCACAAUAAACUGGGGACCGCUGGAGCCUCCCAAGACGCCCAAGCCUUGGAGCCUGAGCUGCCUGCGGCCCGCGCCUCCCCUGCGGCCCUCAGCAGCUCUGUGCUAUAAAGAGGAUCUCAGUAAAAGCCCUAAAACCAUGAAAAAGCUGCUUCCCAAACGCAAGCCAGAGCGGAAGCCAUCGGAUGAAGAGUUUGCACUGAGAAAAAGUACAGCUGCUUUAGAAGAAGAUGCUCAAAUUCUUAAAGUCAUUGAAGCAUAUUGCACAAGUGCCAAAACACGUCAGACAUUAAAUUCAACAUGGCAAGGCACUGACCUGAUGCAUAAUCACGUCUUGGCUGAUGAUGACCAAUCAAGUCUAGACUCCUUGGGUCGUCGCAGUAGCCUUUCUCGUUUGGAGCCUUCAGACCUCUCAGAAGACUCUGACUAUGACAGUAUAUGGACAGCCCAUAGUUACAGAAUGGGGUCUACAUCUCGUAAGAGCUGUUGCUCAUAUAUCUCUCACCAGAACUAAUGCACUUCUGAGCUUUUCUUAACAAAUGCUUGUUGUAUCACAGCCUGCUUUUCUUAGAUGUUUUCUUGCUGUUCCUUGUCUCUUUAAUGUGAUAUUUUAACAACUUCUGAGGGAGCUCCUGAAACUUCAGUUAUACCUGGUGGAAGGCUCUAUUGUCAAUUCAGUACACAUACAAAUAAGUCAUUCUAAAAAGUGUAUAUCCUGUUAAGGAUGAUACUUCUCGAGGGUUUUUUUAACUGACAGAUGUUAAUUUGUAGCUCUGAAUGGUCUUUUUAUUCUUUUGACUUGGUCAGUGUAGUAACAGGUCCUUUACUUUCUUUUUUUUUAUUGUUUUGGAUAAGCACAUUUUUAUAUUUUGUACUGAAGCCAUACUGGUUUGAGAGCUGAGUGCCAGCUAUAUGGAAAUACCUUAGUGGUAGUUGUUGAAUUUUCUACAUAUUAUUAACAAAAUAUAUAGCUGGUAGAGAAAAGUGAAAUGCAGCUUAAAAAUAAGCAGUACAAGAGCUGUAAAAUCAUUCAGAUAUAAACAUAUCUGGCCUAUUUGUUUGGAAGAGCAUUUGCUAAUCCAUAAAAAUUUCUGGUUUUAUACUGCUGUCUUUUGCUCAUUGCUUAAAACGUUUAUAUGAAGGACCUUGCUGCUCUUUCCCCACCCCAGUCUGGCAAUUGUCAUGAAAACCUGGCAGUCCAUGCUCAUUACAUGCAGUGUUUUGGUACUCUCAUGUUACCUGUGGUCAUACUGUCACUUUACUGUGUGCAGUAGUGUGGCAGAAAGCAGGGUUUAGAUGUUUACUUGCCUGUUAAAAUACACAACUGUCAACUCUCAAUUGACCAUUCUUCUUGAAAAGACGAGAGGAAAAUGAUUCCCCUGAUGGAGGCUCCAGUGUUCACCAUCUGAAACUCUAGAGAACUGUGACAUGCUGUGCACAGCUGAAGGUCUCAAACCUGCACCUGGGGCACUGCUGGGGUGAACUCUGUGUGUGUGUUCUGUCUUGUUGCUAAAGUAAUUGGCAUCAAAACAAAAAUGGCAUGUUUUCCAAAUCUUUGUAAGCAUUAGGGAAAAGUGUGCUGAAAGUGAUGAAAGGACAGAAACAGUUCUCAGUUUCACCAGGGCUCCCAAGUGCAACACCCUUAUCACUUUUCACAUAAGCAUGUUAUCUGGUGUUCAGAUACUAUUCUAUGAACAAGUUCAGAGUAAUGGUGAUGAAAUUUAACUGCAGCCUGGGAACUUGAUCACACUGUUUAAAAGGGAAUCAAUACCUUUCUGUGGGUUACAUGAUCAGAAAGUUGCAAUUGCUAGGAGUGCAUGAUUCCAGAAGGUGGUCAGUGUGCAGAAGAUGUUUCAAGACAGUUCAUGUCUUCAAUUUAUGUUCAGUCUUGUUUGAUCCCCUGCUUUAUCCUCUCUCUGUUGUUGGCAUUCUAUAAUGGGACUAACAAAAGCAGUAGUGCUUACCAAGGAGGGUUUUCCUGGGUGCAUUUUACUGCUGGUCAUAUAUUAAUGUAAUGACCAGGAACUUGUGUAUGUUGAACCUUUUGCAAAUGGAGGAGUCUUGCUUAGAGAAAUGAGAUAAGUAUAUGUGCUCCAUAUCAUUUCACAGCACAUUUGUAACCCACUUCACUCCCUUCUUCUUUUCAGUCAGUUUUUCUGUUUUGUUUUUUUAAUAUAUAUGGAAAGUAUGGCUUGUUUUUUCCCUGUUUCUUAUGAUAUGGUGUUCUAGUUGAAUAAUGUUUUCUGCACUGGAUAAAUGAUAAUUCUUUUAUGUCUGUUUCAUGUUAUAUAGUGUAAAUAUGAGUUUGUAAUACAGUUGUUGCACUUGAACUUUCCUUACCACACAGAAAGUUUUGUUAUCCAGAUCCGAAGAUUUUGACUUUUUAUGCACCAAAGCUUUGACAGUUUACCACCAUUAAUUAUUGUAGCAUUUAUGUCACUAGGUACUAUCAUAAUUAGGAUCUUUCAUAUUGUGUAUUCUCAUAUUAACAUCACAGCACAUUUAAAACCAUUCUACAUCUUCAAUGUUACAGGCUGUAAACUAUUGUGAACUGAUCAGGAGUAUUAAUGCAAAAUGCUUGAAACAAAAGGACAAAUGUGGAAAUGAUGGUAUUCAGUCCAAAGGUUCAGUGUUUCUAUUUUUGUGGAACUUUAGUCAUGGUAAUAACAGUACCUUAUGUUUAUGCAAUUCUGUAAAUUGUAUGUGUACAGUUACAAAUACACUGGAAGGAUGGAGAACCUGAAUUGGAAGGUAGGUUCAAGCCAUUGUCAGGCCCUCUUCUCAUGGCUUAUGCAGUGUUUCCAUAUAAAUUAGUACUUACCAUAAGCUGAAGCCAACCAAUAUUGAUUGGGUGUUUUGAGUAAUCUUGCCAAAACACAGUAAUGUGUAUAUAGUGACGUAAAACAUAGAGUAAUAUAUAUUGUGCACUUCAUUUGUGAAUGGGAGAAGCCAUCUUUAGUAGGUGACUGCCUUUGGAAAAUGCAAAAUGGAUGUAUAUCUGAAUGUUUCAUUGUACUGUACAGUAUGCAUAUUGUUUGUGGUUGCAUAUAUCAAUUAAGUGUUUUGUUUUAUAUGAAAAGGACAUCUGUUAUGUACAGUUGAAAUAAAUUUUGCAUUUGCUAGACUGUGACUUUAAUAUUUAAUUAUUACACAGGGGGAAAGGACAGCAGAACUUGUAACUUAACACAUCCUCUUCUCCCUAUGCCUCCUUUCUCUUCCUCCCUUCUUCCCAGAGGAAUCAAAUGCUGACAUGAAAGACCUUUUUUGACAUAAGUUUGUAAUCUUUGUUUAAUGUAGUUGACAUCUACAGGAAAUUCAAUGUAAUGGGAAGUAUGUAUUCUUCUAUAUCCUCUUUUUUGUAAAAAUAAUGUCAGAGACAUUGCCAUCUACAGAUGGUUUUUCUGUUAAUUGAUUUCCUGUUAAUUGAUUUUAUUUUCUUCCUUUUAGUUUUUUGGUUGUUUUUUGUUGUUGUUGUUUUGGUUUUUGGGUUUGGUUUUUUUUGUGUGUGGGGUUUUUGGUGUUUUUGUUUUGUUGUGGUUUUUUUUUUUUGGGGGGGGUUUUUUUUGUUGGUAUAUUCUCAGUAGAAGCAUGGGCUGAAUUAUUGGAACAAUCUAAAACCUACUUCUGCAGGUUUAUUGCCAGAAAGAAAUUUUAUGAAUAUACUAAGAGUGUAUAUAACCUUAUGUGUUUUCAUGAUUUAAUAUUACAACAUUUUUCUUUUAAAAGCAAGAGUUAUCUGUAGUGUUUCUGCUUAAAAGAUGCUUACAUAUGAGUAAAUUUAAACCAAUCAGUUAGCUAAUAUAUGUGCUAAAGUGUUUACAUCAGAAUAAAUUUAAUAAUCACCCCUCUCUAUUAAAAGGUCAUAACUUUUUUUUCUCUGAUUUUAGCAGCUCUAGUCCUGCAGCCAUGUGCUUGAAAAUUUUUGUAUUGGUUACCAAAAUACAGGCAGUUCAGUGGAUUGGCUCUUUCCAAAUGUUGUCUUAGGAAUCUCCCAUGUCUUCAGAUGGUGUCUAUCUUCUCAAACUAUUCAUUCUGGUCUUACAUGACCAACACUUACAUAUGAAGUUAUAUUUUGGUCCACUUUAUUGUUUCUGUUUUACUUACCUAAGCAUUUAGGCAGUAAACUGCCUAAAUCAGUCAUCUGAGUCAUGUGGGCUUUUAUUCCUCUUUGUGAUUCUCUGUUAGUUAAAAACCACAAAACAACUUCAUGCCCACGCCUUUUUGUAUUAUUCCCAAGAAUUUGCAAGCAAUGGUCUAUCUUAUGCAGUGAACUAAAGUUUAGAUGGUAUUUGGCUUCUGAUUUGUGUUUUCUUUACAAAGAUAGUAAAGGAUACUCUUUUGAUUUUGGCAGAUCUGUAGCACAGAUUUUUCAAAUUUUUAAAUCUCAACACAUGCUAAGUCUGGGAACAGCAUUUUUAGAAUCCUCUGUGUUAGGAUCUCAUGAAAAAUUUAUUAAGAAAGAGAAGGUUAAUUUGGCAGGUCUGCUCAUUUGCUUCAACAAAUUUAAUAUAACAAAGGCAGUGACACACUGAAUAUUUAAAAUGACAAGUAAUUUUUUUGUCUAAUGUUUGCUUCACUAGGAAAUGUACAUGUCUGUACAUGCCAGUGGCUAAUGGUAGUUCUAAACAGUAAUGUAUACACACACUUGUUUUUCAGUGGCAAGUCACACUCCUGUCAUUGAAACUCAAGUAGAUUUAAUUUCUGAGAGCUUCUUAGCUUGUGAAGUUGUGAAAAACAGAAUUGUAUACAUACAAGUACUGUUUCGAACUUUUGAACUUUAUUCCUGCCUUGUUCCCCUCCUUACCUCUCCUAAUCACAAUAAAGGUAUGAAGAAGUGAAGAAAACAGCAAUACUUAACAGCUGUGCAACAGUCUUUGAUCAUGGCCUCAGAUAAUACUGUGCACUCCUUGAAAUUACCACCAUCCCCACAUAUCUGACUUCCAUACCUUAAAUUAGGACACUCAUAGUCUUCCAUGAGCCUUCUCCCUUUCACCAGCUGGAGGAAGCUGUUCUUCGUUGACUGGGGAGACCUGUCUUUUAACUGAUGCCCUGAAAUCAGCUACUUUAAGCAGAUUAUGUGAAUACCCACCUCCAUUUUACUCUUGGCUUAAAUGGUUCCUGGACAGACAAGGUCUUUGGACAUAGGCAGAGAUUUAAUAUCCAGUUAAAGUGGAAGGGUUUCUGAAUUUCAUUCACCUUUUGUUACUUCCCUUCUGUAAAACUUCUGAACUGCCUUCAUAUUUGUCUGCUAAAUGAUUCAAAACAAAGGACCAGUCUGUUUAUCAGUACAGCUCUUUCUGAAGCCUGGCUUCUGUCAGGAGCCAGGAUGGUGCCAUAUAAAACUAGCAUGGUGCCCAGAGAAAUUGUGAAUGCCCCUUCCUUGGGAGUGCUCAAGGCCUGUUUGGAAGGGGCUUUGAGCAGCCUGGUCUGGGGGAAGGUGUCUCUGCCCAGGGCAGGGAGGUUGACUCUGUGUCAAACAUUUUGUAAGAUGUCGUGCUCCUUUUGGGGGAGAGUGAAUGAAAGGCUGAGGUUGUGAGUUAGGAUUAGGAUGUUAGACAUUAGUGAGAACCUCUGUGACAUUCAGUCUCUGCUGUAGUCUCUUCCUGGUUUGGUGUACGACCAUACUCCAGGGCAAGGAGUGGCACUGUACCUGUUUUAGGCAGGUAUAAACUGAACUUUUGUGAAGUCAUUCAACCAUGGAUAUACCCAAACAGGUUCCAGCUUUUCUUAUUUACAGGAAUGCUCAGACCUGCUUGCUUGUUUUAGGCUGAUUGAUUUAGCUGGAAAGGGGAUCAGACACUGAAAACCAUAAGCAGGGGGCUGUUCCUCACUGGCCUAUUCUUGUAUUUCAGGUGUUCUACCACAUUAUGUAGAGGGUAUUGCUCAGGCUUGUAGUCCUGCUCUGAAUGUCAGGUGGGCUGUGUUGUUAGGGGCUUUACUCUGGAAGCUAAAUUCGCUACACCUAUAAUUUAGGGUAUGGUUUUGUCAAACAUUGUAAUUCUUUAUUCUCCACUCUAGUGCUGAGAGGUAUUGAUAUUGACUAGAUACCUUUAUUUUUUAAUGAAAUUUAAUUUAUGGAAACUUAAUUGACUUGUGAUUGUAGUGGUCAGUUGUUUGCCUUAAUUACUCAACAGACUUCUAAACAGUGGGGUUGUUCUUCCAAGACCCUGGUUUUAAGAGUUCCCUAUUGAGAACUUACGGCAACUUACUUGGCCUUAAUAUUUGUUUGCUAAUCUUGAAAUAAUUGUUUGGGUUUGUCAAACAUACUUUCUUCUCCCAUCUACCUUACUUCCCUCAAUACCCACCCCCUCAAAAAAAACCAAAACAAAACAAAACAACAAACAAAUCAAAUGAAACCCUGUUUUGUGUAGCUUGGGAUGUUGGGUGUCCAUCUUAAAAAAACCCCAUAAACCAAAAAACAAACAAAUAAAAAAACCCCAAACUAAAAAAAAAAACCAAACAACAAAUCCCCACAUGAAAAUCCCCUACAAACUGACUAGUACUUGUGGUUAUGUUGUCUCAAGGUGAAUUGGGCAGUUGUUUGAGGGUAAUUUAAAUAGUCAUUUUGCCUUUUUGACUUGGAAUAGGGUCUUGUAAUAAAAUACAGUGUGAAACUUAGGAUGCUUAGGAUUGAGGAAUAGCAGAUAUGGCAAACUAAAGUAACUUGAUUCUUCCACCCUAUUUCAUGAAAAUGUGGAGUAUGUCUCAAAGGUGUUUAGGAUUAUCUGAGCUGCACAAACUUCCUCGACUGUCCUUUCAGUAUUAAUUUAGUGGGAAGUGCCCACUGUACUGUAACACAGCCCUCUCUUUGUGUCCUAAAGCUGUACCUUUUGCAGAGGGAAAUGGUUGCACAGAGGGUAGGCCUAAAGAACUUGAUGAAGGCACAAGGUGGAAUUUAGGGGAUAUUGCUGAGUGCCAGUGAUGACUCUGCUUGAAGUUACUUCUAGAUGUGUAAUUGCAAAAAAAAAAGCCCAAAAAAACACACACAAAAAAAAAACUUGAAAGGGAUAGCUGCUGGCAUAAAUGGUGCAGAAAAGGGGGAAUUUGAAAUAGCUUUCUUUUGCCUUUAGAACUUGACCUCAGUUUUGACCUUAUGUCUGAUGUUACUGUGCAUGUACUCAUGUGAUGACCAGAUCCUUUGUGGCAGGAUAGAUGUGCUGUGUGUUUGUACCUUUGAUACUCAGCAUGUGCUUGUGGGGUUUAGGAAAAAAAAAAUCUACAAUAAAGAAAAACCCUCCAAAGCUCACAAAACCCAAACCAUAAUCAUUUUUUUACAUAAGUAUGAACCAUAAGAGCAGGAGAGUUCUGACAUAAAAACAAGGGUUUGUAUGACCAAGGGUAUUGGAGCAGUGAAGGCAAGAGUGGAACUUGUGUUCCACAGUGGUUACUGCCCUGUGGCACAGGAAGGUCAGUGUUGACAGCAGCAGUGUUCCAUUGGGUGCAUUUGUGUAGUGUGAGGUCUCCUUGUGUGUAUGAUGGUGGUGAAGUGCUUUGUGUGUCUGUGCAGUGUUGUGUGCUGUGCUCUGCUGUACUUUCACCCGGAUGUGCUGCUCUAGACAUCUGCUUCACAUGCAUGUGUGUGUACAACUGAACAGCUGGGACAUUUGCUGUCAGGCUGUCUCCUCCUCGCUCUUUGUGCUUUGCAAGGACCCGUGUUACCCUGCCCAGGCUGACAGCUGGAUGCAGCUCCGUACAAAGGGAAAAACGUGUGCUCCGUUUGGGUGGAUGGAGUGCCUGUUCUCUCCCCUUGGCCUGUGCUGGGCUGAGGUGUGCUCCACAUCAGUACAGAGACCCAAAAUGCAGUGAUCUGGUAGCAGCUGCUGCCAGCUAAUUCCUAAUACAACAUUUAAUUCAGUUCUGUGUUAGCUGCAAGGCUAAUAAAGCAGAGCAGUAAGCAAUUAACUGAAAUAAACAUAAGAGAGCUUUUUACAGAGACUGACAGCACAAACAGGGAAGUGUCCUUGAGCUCCCUACAGAAUUUGGAUGUGUUUGUUUUAUAGGUUGUUGCUUCUGGAAAAUAAGUGGAAAUGUAUUAACCCUUAAAAGAUUUCUUCGCUCCGUAAGAAGAAUUUACAGCUUUUGAGGACAAGACUCUUUCUCAAAUCUGCUGUUCUCUUUAGUCCAUAUAAUUUUGACAAUCACAUACUGAUAUGUUAGAUCUUUACUGUAAGCUUAAGGAAACUUUUCUGCAUUAAAGACAUUUGUCAUUGUUUGCUAAAAUAAUUUAAAUGGCUAAACAUGUACAGCUAAGAUAGGAUCCCUACAAGCUCACUGUUCAGAACUCAAGACUGCAGCUCUUUGGGAAGUUAAUAUUUUGCAAUGAGUGUGAUUUAUUCAACAUUUUUAUUUAUUUGUUUAUAUUUUGUAUUUUGCCAUGAACCAUAAAAGAAAAGCACUGCUAGCACAAAGCAGCUGUUGAGCAACUAAUUUCUCUGGACAGGCAUGUACCAAGUUACCAGUUUCAACUGUAUGAGACUUGAGAAAUUCCUGGUUAAUGAAAGUUCACUACAGUGAAUUUGUGACAGGUGUACCUUGUUUGUUGAAACUGAUGUCUUAGUUUAAAAAUGUAAGAACUUCAGUGCUUUAUCUGCAGUGUUUGAAUUCUGAACAAAUGCUUAGACACCAAUUUAUUUACAGACCUUCUUAAAAAAAACAACCCUUGUAAUUUGUUGCAGCUGAAUUGAAUAAUGUUUAUAGAAUUAUGGAUGGAUGCACAUUUCUGAGUUGUAGCUUUUCUACUCAGAACCACGUUUUUAUAAUCUAUAUGUUUUAUCUUGAUGUUGCAAAUUGUAAUGUGUGGAAAAAGUUCUGAAGAUGUUGGGAUGUUUUGAGUUUUUAUCAUCAAACCAUGAAGUGCUUUUUAAAACACCUAUUAAAUACCAAGAGUGUGUGUCAUUUGAUAGGAAUGUAUUGUAGGACUAAAAGGUUAUCUGUAAGAGUAUUUGCAUGUAUAUGUGUGCACACAGCAAGUGGGGUGCUUGCAGUGUUUUGGGGAAAAGGGUUUUUACUUAUUUUUCUUUAAUUGCUGUGUCAUUUGAUACUACUAUUCUGCUCCUUACUGACAGAGUAAUGGGUUUAGAGCAGAAUUAUGUCUUGGAUUUGUAUCAGUGUGAGAUCAGAGUGCCCUUGAUACUUAAAUCACUGUUACUUAAACACAGCUAUGUCUUUCUCAGUCUGCUGUGGGGAAUUUGCACAGCUUUUACUGAUGGUUGAAUAGUGCACUGUUCCUUGAACAGUGCAACAUCCAUGUCAGUGGCUCGGGAGUUAUGUCACCAGUGGGGUGGGGGUGUCACACAACCUUUUGUUGUUGUAAGGCUGUGGUUUCGAAAGUAAAAAAGUGUCAGUAACUCGUGUGUAGAGGGAAGGGGGAAAUGCAAAGUGGUGUACUGUGGUGAUGGGGGUGUAUCAUGUGGUGAAUCUUUAAAAUGCCACAGUGGUAUAUGUGAGUUGCUCAUUUUGUAAUUUAUUUUUACAACAGGUUCCCGUAAAGAAUCAGCUCCUCAAGUCCUGCUUCCAGAAGAAGAAAAAAUUAUUGUAGAAGAAACUAAAAGUAAUGGUCAGACUGUUAUAGAAGAGAAAAGCCUUGUUGACACAGUAUAUGCGUUAAAGGAUGAAGUACAGGAGUUAAGACAGGAUAACAAAAAGAUGAAGAAAUCAUUAGAAGAGGAACAAAGAGCUCGCAAGGACUUGGAGAAGCUUGUUAGAAAAGUUUUAAAGAAUAUGAAUGAUCCAUCUUGGGAUGAAACCAACUUAUAACCACUUUUUCUUUUCCCCUUCUUCUUUCUAUUGAAAGACCAGUUGUAGAACUGAGCUGGGAAGCCUUCUGACAUUAGUCAGUGUUGCAUCAAGAGCACUAUAAAACAGGAUUUAACUGGAUCUAGUGAUUUCUUGUUCUGAACAUACAGAAAGAGUCAAGCCAUUUACUGCAGCAAUCUGUACUUUAAGCAUGGAGACUGUGGAUCCUGAACUCUACUAAACUUAAUUUGUUUGCAUCCAAAUUACCUCAUUUUGCAGAAAGUGCAGCACCUGACUAAAAGUCCAUGUUUUUCAGUGGCUUUUUAAUUAAAUAUAUAUUUUUCUUGUAAAUAGCUGUAAUUUAGAAUGCAUAUGUGAUUGAUGUAUCAGGGCUGAUAUGUUGGGGUUUUUUUCUUGUGUUAUUAUAAUGGUCACAAGUGUUAGAAAUGAUGGCAGUACUGUCUUACCUAAGAAAGGUCAGAGUUCCUUGUGGAUAAUUAUGAAUUAGUUCCAAAUUACCCACUCACCACACAUGCAAAUUUAAACCCCUGUUUUCCUAUUUACCACUAUAUUUAAAUCCUUUACUGUUACCUGUUACUUUAAAGAGUUUACAGUUCCUUAAGAACAGUAUUAAAAUACAGGAAAUUGUUUAUUGACAGUAGAAACAAUUUUUAACAAAUCUAAUGCCCACAAUUUACAUUCACAUACACUCGUUUGCAGACUAAUCUAUUGUGCUUUGGCCACCAAAAGACUGAUGUACUUGCCUGCUUUUUAUGACUGUGAUUUUUAGGUGUUUAUGUACUACAUCUUCUAUUGUUGUGCUUAAACAUACAGCUGACUGAUAACAGAUCAUACAGUUUGUUUAAAGGAAAAAAUCAAUCUAAUCCAGAAUUUUGUGAAUAAAUGGUUGCUAUUUAUAUUUUAUGGUCACAGCAGUUAAAUGUUAGCUAACCUUUGUGCAUAAGACACAUGGGCUAGGCCAAACUUCAUUCAGAGUUUUGUUUCUAUACCACUAUAUAAGACUCUCUGAUUGGAGUUCCCAUACUGUGGAAGCAGUCAUUCCUUUCCCACCCUUUUUUCUUUGCAUGUUGCUGAUUUCUGUCCUACUGGGAUUUAAAUGGAAAGAAAUGUGGAAUUAAGAUUUUUUUUUUAAUCGUACUGUAACUCAUAAUUUGCACUGCUGACAGAUUUUAAAAUACAUAAAGGAACAUUAAUUCCCUAGCCUGAUAGGUGCAAUCACUGCAGUUUCUUGUAUUUAAGAUAGGAGAUGAUACAUCACUGCAAACGGUGAGCUUCAGAUGAAGCACUUAAAAUACUAAUCCCAUUAAAGCUCAUUGUUUUCAUGGAUUUCAUCAAACUUUGGAUUUGACUCCAGACAGUGCAGCUUUCUGAGGGGUUUGCAUUCAGUUGAGUCAGAAGUGCAGGUAUAGCACAGACUUGAGUCACACCAUUUGUCAUUCUGAUUUUCUACUGCUCUUUUAACUCCUGCUAAAUGUAACGCUCAGCGUUGAGCAAAUGUUUGUACGAACUUUAGUGAGUUGGAGCCAGGAUGAUUUGGGUUGUAAGAAUUGUCAUGCACAUUUUGAAUCUAAUGAAAAAUCUACUUUUAAAGCUACCCACUUUUUUCAGUCAAGAACAGCUUUUUCUAAAUAGGAAGUUCUGUCAAUUACAUACUUGAGAAACAAUUCUAUGGGAAUGGAUGCUUCAUAACCUGAGUAGACAAGUUGUCUCUUUUAGAAAGCUGAAUAUAUUUGUGUCUUGUGUUCCUGCAAUUUAAAAAUGUUUUCCUUUAAUUCUAAAGGAGGAGAAAAUGAAAAACAUCUACGUUACCAGUUCUAUAUAUUCACAGAAUUUUAAAUUUGUUAAUUAUUGUUACCAAAAUCUUCCCUUGAUGUUUGCGGUUGCACAAAAUUGUGGACUGACGUUUUAUUUAUCUUCGCAUUUGGAAAACAUCCUUGCUAAAAACUAAGUGAUACUAACCCCUGCAAAUGCAUGCUAUCAUAGCCAAAUUUAGACUUGGGGAAACCAAUAUAAUUAGAAUUUUGCUAACAUUUUCACUUUUUGAAAUCCAGGGUAUUUUCAGAGUGAUUUUUAAUUUUCAAUUCAGCAUAUGUGAAAGGACAUUCCAGAGGAAGAAGUAUAAAAGGAAAACAUUAAGCUUAGCAGUAUUUAGCAAAUUUUAACUCAGGAACAACUUCCAUCAUAACAAUCUGUUUUGCAUUAUAUUGUAAAGAGUGCUGUUGCUAUGUAAAUCUGCUGACUCUUAGUACCUGUGAUAUUAAUAAUUUCUGACAGUACCCCUACAUUGACAUCUAAUGAACAUGCCUUAAACACUGGGAUGAAGCAGUUGUUAAGUAUGACCAGGACUUAGGGACUGAUUUUAUUCAAGGUAUAUUGGGAGGACUAAUUUUUACCAACACACACACACACACAAAAAAAGGAGGCAGAAAAGAGAACUGACCUAAUGUUGUAGGUAGGUACCUAAUGUUUGUCUCCAGUGCAGAGAGCAGCUUCUGACUUUUGGGAACCAAGAAGUACCUGAACUUGUUUUCAUUUGCAAUUUGUUACAGUGUAUAUAGAUUGUAAAUGUCACCAUGGACCUUCUGAAUUGUUGGAAACUUUACAUAAGCAUGGAUAAAUGGGGCACUGUUUAUUUAACCUAUUAAAGGGUUGUUUGUUUGCUCUCAUCAUUUAGGGAUGAGGAGAUGAAGCCAUUUCUUAUCCUAUAGAUGUGAAGCACUUUCAGUACUGAAUUGUCCAAAAUGUAGCAUAACAUUUCUCUGUACUUACUGAUGUAUGUGUGUUUGUCUCACCAUGUCAUGACAUCCUAAAGAUUGAAUAACUGACUGCUUUUGUAUAAACCUUUUUAAUGCAAAUCAUUUAGGGAAUUUAGAGUAUCUGUUUACAGUGUCUGUGAAGAACUCUAGUUUAGAUGUCACAAUAAUAUCCUGGUAUCCACUACUAAAGCUUUUAUGCUACAUUGUAAUUAAACCAUGAAUUUUUUCCC